rnacentral:rRNA from 1 species
GAUGAACGCUGGCGGCGUGCCUAAUACAUGCAAGUCGAGCGAACGGGCGCUAAGCUUUCUUCUCGGAUGUAAGCGGCGGGCGGGUGAGUAACACGUUGAUAACCUACCUAUAAUACUGGGAUAACUUCGGGAAACCGGAGCGAAUUCCGGAUAAUAUUUUUAACCGCAUGGUUAAAAAUUGAAAGGCGGUCUUGCUGUCACUUGUAGAUGGAUCCGCGCUGCAGUUGCUAGUUGGUAAGGUAACGGCUUACCAAGGCAACGAUGCAUAGCCGACCUGAGAGGGUGAGCGGCAACACUGGAACUGAGACACGGUCAAGGCUCCGACGGGAGGCAGAAGUAGGGAAGGGUAAGCAAUGGGAGAGAGCCUGACGGAGCAACGCCGACUGAGUGAUGAAGGUCUUCGGAUCGGAAAACUAUGUUAUUAGGGCAGACCACAUGUGUAAGUAAUUGGGCACAUCUUGACGGUACCUAAUCAGAAAGACACGGCUAACUACGU